UCAACACAAAAUAUGCUUGGGUGGAAAUUCUUUUCUCUGAAUCUUCUGCUCAGCCUGAAAACUUGAUUUUGAUAGAAGAGGAAGAAUUUUGCCUGGUUUUCUUGGCUUGAUUGAUUUGGUGAGCUGAAAGAAAGACACUGCUUCAUCAGAAUUCAAACAACAGAAAACAUCUCCCAGACAUCGAGUCAUGAAUAUGGAAUGACUUCACCUGACUUCACUUGAAAUUCACUUAAUUUUCAACUCUGUUGGCUAUGAGAAAAGGACAUCCAGGCCUCACACAAAAAUGGAUCAAUGAAUUGAAACUCACCAAAUCACCACCACCAGACAACGGGAUGCUGAGUCUCAUUCAUCAUGAUUGCUUCCUGAAGCCUUCUGAGUUCCUGUUUCCCUACACAUUGUUACAUUUCUUCCCUGCAACAUAAACCCCCAAUUUUAGUCCAUCAAGGUUAUAGAUUUGAGACUGAUCUCCCAUUUCCUUGGCUGCAACACCCAAUUAUAGCCUUCUUGGCAAUAAUUGUUGUCUCAGUGAUUGGCUUUCUUUGUGGCCAGCAGCAGGACCUAGACUGAACACCUGAUUUUCUGGUCUCUCAAAACAGAAUUUUGGCUUUUCCAGAUUGGCAAAUAGCUCUUAGUUAAAUGUGGCUUUCAAGUAUGUGUUUACUCCUUUAUGUUUCAAUUUUCCUUCAAUUUUGGCCUGGAGAGUGUCUCAACUAAGAAGCUAAAAAGGGAAAGAAAAGAAAAGCAGUUAUGUUUUUUUCCCCUCCGGCCUAUACAAACACAUACACACCAAGAUACAGCAAUUCUGUAGCAAAAAGGCAGAGAAAACAUCAUUGUGGACGCAGGACUCAAAUGUGUUAUCUCAAGAGAUGAUGGAGAAACAUCACCAGAUGGGGCCACCAGAUGAGGCAGAUCGAGUCCCAGAAACAAAUAACAUAAGAGGAAAUGGAUAUGAUGAGGUUCUGAUACGAAACGACAGAAAAUCCCCUCAACAAGGAACUGGUGAUACUAAUUUUUAAAUUUUCCUUGAUGUCAGCAUGUCUCUAAACACAACUCUUUGGGAAAGAACAUAAUUUGUUUAGACAGAUUUUUUUUCCCAUACAGGUAGUAAAUGCAUAGUGAAAAAAAAAGGUCAGAGGGCCGGGCGCAGUGGCUCACGCCUGUAAUCCCAGCGCUUUGGGAGGCCGAAGCGGGCAGAUCACGAGGUCAGGAGAUCGAGACCAUCCCAGCUAACACGGUGAAACCCCCGUCUCCACUAAAAACACAAAAAAUUAGCUGGGCGAGAUGGCGGGCGCCUGUAUUCCCAGCUACUGGGGAGGCUGAGGCAGGAGAAUGGCGUAAACCCGGGAGGCGGAGCUUGCAGUGAGCCGGGAUGCGGCCACUGCACUCCAGCCUGGGUGACAGAGCGAGACUCCGUCUCAAAAAAAAAAAAAAGAAAAAUAAAAAAAUGGUUAGAGAUAUCUUGUCAGAGGUUUUAUUUCCUUUUCUAUUUGGGCUUAAUUUCACAGGUCAUGAAUAAUGGACUAUU
rnacentral:lncRNA from 10 species